rnacentral:rRNA from 1 species
CCUACGGGAGGCAGCAGUAGGGAAUCUUCCGCAAUGGACGAAAGUCUGACGGAGCAACGCCGCGUGAACGAUGAAGGCCUUCGGGUCGUAAAGUUCUGUUGUUAGGGAAGAACAAGUGCUAGUUGAAUAAGCUGGCACCUUGACGGUACCUAACCAGAAAGCCACGGCUAACUACGUGCCAGCAGCCGCGGUAAUACGUAGGUGGCAAGCGUUGUCCGGAAUUAUUGGGCGUAAAGCGCGCGCAGGCGGUUUCUUAAGUCUGAUGUGAAAGCCCCCGGCUCAACCGGGGAGGGUCAUUGGAAACUGGGAAACUUGAGUGCAGAAGAGGAAAGUGGAAUUCCAAGUGUAGCGGUGAAAUGCGUAGAGAUUUGGAGGAACACCAGUGGCGAAGGCGACUUUCUGGUCUGUAACUGACGCUGAGGCGCGAAAGCGUGGGGAGCAAACAGGAUUAGAUACCCUGGUAGUCCACGCUGUAAACGAUGAGUGCUAAGUGUUAGAGGGUUUCCGCCCUUUAGUGCUGAAGUUAACGCAUUAAGCACUCCGCCUGGGGAUACGGUCGCAAGACUGAAACUCAAAAGUGUAGUGGACGUCGNGAGAGCGACGACGACGACGACGGAGGGAGGAGG